rnacentral:rRNA from 1 species
GACGAACGCUGGCGGCGUGCUUAACACAUGCAAGUCGAACGGAAAGACGCUGCUCUUGUGGGGUGCUCGAGUGGCGAACGGGGGAGUAACACGCGAGUAACCUGCCCUUGACAUUGGGAUAAAUUCUGGAAACUGGGGCUAAUACCGGAUAGGAGCUCCUGCUGCAUGGUGGGGGUUGGAAAGUUUCGGCGGUUGGGGAUGGACUCGCGGCUUAUCAGCUGGUUGGUGGGGUAGUGGUUUACCAAGGCUUUGACGGGUAGCCGGCCUGGGAGGGUGACCGGCCACAUUGGGACUGCGAUACGGCCCAGUCUCCUACGUGAGGCAGCAGUGGGGAAUAUUGCACAAUGGGCGGACGCCUGAUGCAGCAGCGCCGCGUGCGGGAUGACGGCCUUCGGGUUGUGAACCGCUUUCGCCUGUGACGAAGCGUGAGUGACGGUAAUGGGUCAAGAAGCACCGGCUAACUACGUG